rnacentral:rRNA from 1 species
UACAGAGGUCUCAAGCGUUGUUCGGAAUCACUGGGCGUAAAGCGUGCGUAGGCUGUUUCGUAAGUCGUGUGUGAAAGGCGCGGGCUCAACCCGCGGACGGCACAUGAUACUGCGAGACUAGAGUAAUGGAGAGGGAACCGGAAUUCUCGGUGUAGCAGUGAAAUGCGUAGAUAUCGAGAGGAACACUCGUGGCGAAGGCGGGUUCCUGGACAUUAACUGACGCUGAGGCACGAAGGCCAGGGGAGCGAAAGGG